rnacentral:rRNA from 1 species
UACGUAGGUGGCAAGCGUUGUCCGGAAUUAUUGGGCGUAAAGCGCGCGCAGGCGGUCCUUUAAGUCUGCUGUGAAAGCCCACGGCUCAACCGUGGAGGGUCAUUGGAAACUGGGGGACUUGAGUACAGAAGAGAAGAGUGGAAUUCCACGUGUAGCGGUGAAAUGCGUAGAGAUGUGGAGGAACACCAGUGGCGAAGGCGACUCUUUGGCCUGUAACUGACGCUGAGGCGCGAAAGCGUGGGGAGCAAACAGG